GUAGAGAGAAGCUUGCUUCUCUUGAGAGCGGCGGACGGGUGAGUAAUGCCUAGGAAUCUGCCUGGUAGUGGGGGAUAACGUUCGGAAACGAACGCUAAUACCGCAUACGUCCUACGGGAGAAAGCAGGGGACCUUCGGGCCUUGCGCUAUCAGAUGAGCCUAGGUCGGAUUAGCUAGUUGGUGAGGUAAUGGCUCACCAAGGCGACGAUCCGUAACUGGUCUGAGAGGAUGAUCAGUCACACUGGAACUGAGACACGGUCCAGACUCCUACGGGAGGCAGCAGUGGGGAAUAUUGGACAAUGGGCGAAAGCCUGAUCCAGCCAUGCCGCGUGUGUGAAAAAGGUCUUCGGAUUGUAAAGCACUUUAAGUUGGGAGGAAGGGCCAUUACCUAAUACGUGAUGGUUUUGACGUUACCGACAGAAUAAACACCGGCUAACUCUGUGCCAGCAGCCGCGGUAAUACAAAGGGUGCAAGCGUUAAUCGGAAUUACUGGGCGUAAAGCGCGCGUACGUGGUUUGUUAAGUUGCAUGUGAAAACCCCUGGCUCUUCCUGGGAACUGCAUUCACCACUGAGAAGCUAGAGUAUGGUAGAGGGUGGUGGAAUUUCAUGUGUAGGGGUGCAAUGCGUAUAUAUAACAUGGAACACGGGUGGCACUAGCGGGCAACUGGACUGAGACUGAUCCUCACGUGUGCACACCUGGGUGGCAAACACGAUCAGAGAGGCUGCCUUCGCACGCCGUACUCCUGUCAUCUCUACGUUGUGAGCCGUGACUCGUGAUGUCGCAGCUCCCGCAACAAAAUGACGUUGGCGAUUACGGACGCAGUCCAAGGUCAACGAGUGUCUGUGUCGAUUACACAGACAUGGGGCUUGUUGCUCCAACGAAACAACAUACAUGUCUCGCUCUUGACCGUCGACUGCAAAUGCGUGGUACUUCGGAAGUGAGCACGAUGCGCAGUUAGUCAGCUCGUCCGUCAAGUCAGAUGAUCACAAGACCUACUCCAGCCGUAUGUGUAGUAGGUCGCUUGAAUUCGAAGGGCCAGAAGGUCAGCUUAACUUGCUGCAUGCUCUGGCAACAGUGCAGCU
rnacentral:rRNA from 1 species